rnacentral:lncRNA from 1 species
CACACCUGGUCACCCAUUGGUCACACCUGCUAGGAAAGUUUCCAAUCUGCCAAUCGGGUCACACCUGGUCACCCAUUGGUCACACCUGCCAGGAGAGUUUCCAAACUGCCAAUCAGGUCACACCUGGUCACCUGGAUUGAAAAGGUCUUCCCAGGCCUCCUAGUCUGUGUCGCUGCAUAGCAGUCUCAGUUCUUGAGGUAGUUAAGCUCUGAGGCAACUGGAAGGAUGAAUAAGGAGACUUUUUCACAUGUGCCCACAACAAAACACAUCCGUUUUGGUCCAACCUUCACAACGGAAUGUGUCACCCAGGGUCCAGAGCAGCAUAUACAUCUCAGGCCUCUGGUUUAGGCACCCACUGCCUGUUUCUCNACCAAAAUGUUGCCUUCUUGGAUUCAUUUCAAAGGAACACAAUCAUUUCCCACCUACAUGUUUAUUUUUGAAGCGCAUGUGGGCAACGCAUUAGAAGAACAGCUCUUAUCUCUCCUGAGGUAACAACUGCGAGUUCUUGGCAGAAUACUAAUUGGACUCCUCGGCCUGAUAAACCUGGCAUUUAUUAACGUGGUUGGAUAUGGAAGCAAAACUGCCUUCAGCUCCCAUCUCCACAGCCACCCUCUAAUGACAGAAAAUCCAUUUUCUUCUCCACAGUUGUCCAAAACAUCCAAUAAACUGGCCAUCUGCAGCACUGGCCAGUAGCCAGUGGAAUUGGACUUGCAGGCGGUUCUUCCAGCUUGAAACAAUCUUUUAUUUUGAUAUGAGCCAUUUGUUUUUGUUUUUUUGCAUUGAAUCAUAGAACUGUGGAGCUGGAAGGGAGCAUGGGGAUCAUCUAGUCCAGCCCCUUGCAAUGUUUGGGGAAGCAAAUGAAACCACUGUGGAGAAGAGGGCCCUCUGACACCUCCAGGGAUGAAGAACCCACAACCUCUGCUUUCACUCCUGUCCGGAUCAGACGGACUGUACCAACGCGUAGCAGGGCCUCCCUUGGACCAACUUAUGAUGGAAUCCUAUCUGCGUGGACCAGUCCAAUGGUAUGUGCAGAAAGGCCCAAGGAAACCUCAGAGACAAACCACCAGUCCUGGACCACAGAACCAAACCUACAUCCCAAACAGGUAAGAUAACCAGGCGGAGUAGAUGCUG